GUGGUUUAAUUCGAUGCAACGCGAAAACCUUACCCACCUUUGACAUGUACGGAAUCCUUUAGAGAUAGAGGAGUGCUCGAAAGAGAGCCGUAACACAGGUGCUGCAUGGCUGUCGUCAGCUCGUGUCGUGAGAUGUUGGGUUAAGUCCCGCAACGAGCGCAACCCUUGUCAUUAGUUGCUACGAAAGGGCACUCUAAUGAGACUGCCGGUGACAAACCGGAGGAAGGUGGGGAUGACGUCAAGUCCUCAUGGCCUUUAUGACCAGGGCUACACACGUACUACAAUGGCCGGUACAAAGGGCAGCGACACAGCGAUGUGAAGCCAAUCCCGAAAAGCCGGUCUCAGUCCGGAUUGGAGUCUGCAACUCGACUCCAUGAAGUUGGAAUCGCUAGUAAUCGCGGAUCAGCACGCCGCGGUGAAUACGUUCCCGGGCCUU
rnacentral:rRNA from 1 species